rnacentral:rRNA from 1 species
CCUACGGGUGGCAGCAGUGAGGAAUAUUGGUCAAUGGGCGAGAGCCUGAACCAGCCAAGUCGCGUGAGGGAGUACUGCCCUAUGGGUUGUAAACCUCUUUUGUCGGGGAGCAAAAGCCGGACGUGUCCGGCUGUGAGAGUACCCGAAGAAAAAGCAUCUGCUAACUCCGUGCCAGCAGCCGCGGUAAUACGGAGGAUGUGAGCGUUAUCCGGAUUUAUUGGGUUUAAAGGGUGCGCAGGCGGAUUUUUAAGUCAGCGGUAAAAUCGUGGGGCUCAACCCCAUCCAGCCGUUGAAACUGGGGAUCUAGAGUGUGCGAGAGGUAUGCGGAAUGCGUGGUGUAGCGGUGAAAUGCAUAGAUAUCACGCAGAACCCCGAUUGCGAAGGCAGCAUACCGGUGCACAACUGACGCUCAGGCACGAAAGCGUGGGUAUCGAACAGGAUUAGAUACCCUUGUAGUC